CCUUAAAUACAUCUCAAGAGACUUGGACCGGGAGCUUGUUAUGUACCUAGAUGAUGCAGUAGUCGCAGGUAUACUCGUUGUGGUAGGGGCCUGUGUUUUUUUUGGUGGGUUUAUUUAUUACGCAGUAAAAGAUGCCCACAAAAAGAAAAAGUAGUGAUGUUCGAUCCUGUCA
rnacentral:sRNA from 1 species